rnacentral:rRNA from 1 species
AUUGAACGCUGGCGGCAUGCUUUACACAUGCGAGUCGAACGGCAGCGCGGGCUUCGGCCUGGCGGCGAGUGGCGAACGGGUGAGUAAUGCAUCGGAACGUGCCCAGUAGUGGGGGAUAGCCCGGCGAAAGCCGGAUUAAUACCGCAUACGACCUGAGGGUGAAAGCGGGGGACCGAAAGGCCUCGCGCUAUUGGAGCGGCCGAUGUCGGAUUAGCUAGUUGGUGGGGUAAAGGCUUACCAAGGCGACGAUCCGUAGCUGGUCUGAGAGGACGACCAGCCAAACUGGGACUGAGACACGGCCCAGACUCCUACGGGAGGCAGCAGUGGGGAAUUUUGGACAAUGGGGGCAACCCUGAUCCAGCCAUGCCGCGUGCGGGAAGAAGGCCUUCGGGUUGUAAACCGCUUUUGUUCGGGAAGAAAUCCUCUGGGCUAAUACCCCGGGGGGAUGACGGUACCGGAAGAAUAAGCACCGGCUAACUACGUG